UACGGAGGGGGCUAGCGUUGUUCGGAAUUACUGGGCGUAAAGGGCGCGCAGGCGGCUGGUCAAGUCAGGCGUGAAAGGCCUGGGCUCAACCCGGGAAUUGCGCUUGAGACUGGGCUGGGUUGAGUGCGGGAGAGGAUGGUGGAAUUCCCAGUGUAGAGGAGAAAUUCGUAGGUAUUGGGAAGAACACCGGUGGAGAAGGCGGCCAUCUGGACAGCAACUGACGCUGAGGCGCGAAAGCGGGGGGAGCAAACAGG
rnacentral:rRNA from 1 species